rnacentral:tRNA from 1 species
GUUGUGAUGGCCGAGUUGGUCUUUUAAGGUGUUAAAUUAAGGUUUUGGUCCGAAAGGGUGUGGGUUCAAAUCCCACUCUCAACA